UAUAACACAGUACUUGAUGAUUGCCUAAACAUUAGACUCUACAAAUCUGUAAUCUGCAAGAAUUGGUAACAGAUGUUUUUAAUCUGCCAUAUUGAUCCCUAGCCUGAUUAAAUGUGUUUUUGUAGAUUUAAUUAAUAGGUAAGUUAUUUUUGGGUGUUGAUGUUGCUUAGAUGUUUUGGAACCUCGAACAACUUAACUAAUACCAAAGUGUUCUGGAUUAAUCUAUAAUGAGUUGUUCUCCGUGCCAUUUGAGUUAUUUGGUCCGUCGUCGGCAUACGUAUGUCGCGAUGCAACUUGCAGUGAGGCUUCCACUAUUGGCUUGAUCAAAGGACGAGACACUUAUCCAUUCCUAAACUCACUUAAAAUGAAAAUGUCCAUAUUGCUUGGAGUUGCACAGAUGAACUUGGGAAUAAUAAUGCCCUGUUCUUCAAGAAUAGCAUAAACACAUGGUUUCAGUUUGUUCCCCAGAUGAUAUUCUUGAACAACCUGUUUGGCUAUUUUUCUCUCCUUAUCAUUGUCAAGUGGUGCACUAGAUCCCAAGCUGAUUUAUACCAUGUGAUGAUCUACAUGCACCCCUUCCAAGGACAGAGGAGUCUCUUCAAUCAGGGGCAAACCACAAUGAUGGCCAUGGCCACGGUCAUGAGGAGUUUGAGUUCAGUCAAGUUUUUGUACAUCAGUUUAUACCCACAAUCGAAUCUGUUCUUGGGGCUGUUUCAAAUACAGCUUCUUAUCUUCGUUUGUGUUUGCAAGUUGCAACCUUGAAUUAAUACUGGGAUGAGUAAUUUCAGUUUGUGCCAGAAGCUAAGAAAUUCUUUGUAACUUCACUUUUCAUUUUCAGUUUUUGAAGAUUUAUAUUACCGUAAAGCUUAGAUAUUGAACAAAUGC